CCAACGUGGAUACCCCGGGAGGUCACUCUCCCCGGGCUCUGUCCAGGUGGCGUAGGGGAGCAUAGGGCUCUGCCCCGUGAUGUACAGUCCCUUUCCACAACGUUGGAGAUGAAGCCGGGCCUUGAGUCAGCGCCUGCAUAUUCCUACAGCUUCUCAGAGUCCUGUGGACAGUGACUGGGGAGACAAACCAUGCAGGAAACAGCU
ensembl:snoRNA SNORA73 Small nucleolar RNA SNORA73 family